rnacentral:rRNA from 1 species
AUUGAGUUUGAUCCUGGCUCAGGAUGAACGCUGGCGGCGUGCUUAACACAUGCAAGUCGAACGGAGAUAUCAUUUUCGAAGCGAUUAGUUUACUAAGAGUGGAGAUGUUGGUAUCUUAGUGGCGGACGGGUGAGUAACGCGUGGGUAACCUGCCUUACACUGGGGGAUAACACUUAGAAAUAGGUGCUAAUACCGCAUAACAGGAGAAGACGCAUGUCUUAUCCCUGAAAACUCCGGUGGUGUAAGAUGGACCCGCGUCUGAUUAGCUGGUUGGCGGGGUAACGGCCCACCAAGGCGACGAUCAGUAGCCGGCCUGAGAGGGUGAACGGCCACAUUGGGACUGAGACACGGCCCAAACUCCUACGGGAGGCAGCAGUGGGGAAUAUUGGACAAUGGGGGGAACCCUGAUCCAGCGACGCCGCGUGAGUGAAGAAGUAUUUCGAUAUGUAAAGCUCUAUCAGCAGGGAAGAAAGAAAUGACGGUACCUGACUAAGAAGCCCCGGCUAACUACGUGCCAGCAGCCGCGGUAAUACGUAGGGGGCAAGCGUUAUCCGGAUUUACUGGGUGUAAAGGGAGCGUAGACGGCGAUGCAAGUCUGAAGUGAAAGGCGGGGGCCCAACCCCCGGACUGCUUUGGA